CCUACGGGUGGCAGCAGUGGGGAAUAUUGGACAAUGGGGGCAACCCUGAUCCAGCCAUGCCGCGUGUGUGAAGAAGGCCCUCGGGUUGUAAAGCACUUUCAGUGAGGAAGAACGCCUGGUGGUUAAUACCCAUCAGGAAAGACAUCACUCACAGAAGAAGCACCGGCUAACUCCGUGCCAGCAGCCGCGGUAAUACGGAGGGUGCGAGCGUUAAUCGGAAUUACUGGGCGUAAAGCGCGCGUAGGUGGCUUGAUAAGCCGGUUGUGAAAGCCCCGGGCUCAACCUGGGAACGGCAUCCGGAACUGUCAAGCUAGAGUGCAGGAGAGGAAGGUAGAAUUCCCGGUGUAGCGGUGAAAUGCGUAGAGAUCGGGAGGAAUACCAGUGGCGAAGGCGGCCUUCUGGACUGACACUGACACUGGGGUGCGAAAGCGUGGGUAGCAAACAGGAUUAGAUACCCCGGUAGUC
rnacentral:rRNA from 1 species